UGUUUCCCCUUAAACCACUCAAGUGUUGCUUUAGCAGUAUGCUUAGGGUCAUUGGGCCUCAUUCACCAACCGUUCUUACAAGGUAAUGUGUUCUUAAACCCCACUUACGCACUUUUUACGAAGAUUCUGACAUUCACUAAUGUUUUCUCAUUUUGGAUUUGUUCUUAGCUAAGAACAAAAUCCACGCACACUCAAGAGCAUUCUUACGCACAUUUGAGUGAUGACAGUUUGCUCCAAAUAAUUGGUUACUGCAUUUCAUUUAAUUCUACAGUCAUUUACAAUGAUAGUAUUUUACUGUAAUGUAUUUCUGAUCAUCUGUCGAAAAAAAAAUCAUAGUAUGUAAAGAAACACUAACACUGCAAUUUACAUCAGCAAUUAAGCUGAUUAAAUCCUGCAUUAUGUGGUGAUUGAUCACGCUAUUUAUAGGACCAAACUGGGCCUGUUUCUGCACAUCAGGCAUGCUAUCAAAAUGGCACAUCUAUUGCUGCUUGACGACAUUGCCGAGCGUGCUCUGAGAAGGGAACGCAUCUUUGAGGAUCACGUUGAUUUAUUUGCAGAGACUGACGAGUACUUGAUAGGACAGUUUAGGCUUCCAAGACACGUUUUAAUGGAGCUGUGUGAUACUUUGGAGCAAGCGCUGCGAAGCCAUACCCAACGGUCCAAUCCCGUACCACCUCAUGUGCAGGUACUCUCCACCUUGGGAUUUUUAGCCACUGGGACAUUUCAGCGGGAGUUAGCAGACCGGGUGGCAUCCAUCAGCCACGCUCUCCCACGAGUUGUGGAUGGAAUAAAUCAACUGGCCACACAAUAUAUUUUCUUCCCCUACACAGCCCAACAACAGCUGCCGGUCAAGAGAGGGUUGUACUCUAUUGCGGGUCUGCACAACGUAAUCGGGGCAAUAGACUGCACUCACGUGCGCAUUAAGGCAUCCUCACCAGACCCAUUCCCAUACCUCAACCGCAAGCAAUAUCACUCAAUCAAUGUACAAGUCAUCUGCGACUCCGACAACCAUCUCUUGAACGUGGUCUCCCGCUUCCCAGGAGGUGCACAUGACGCUUAUAUUUUGCAGAACAGUUCUGUGGGAAUGCGCCUGGAACAAGGAGCUGCUGGAGACGCAUGGCUCAUUGGCAAGCAUCGUUCAGUCAUUUCAAAUUCCAAUUGUUGGUUUCAAAAAGUGGGUUUCUUCAUUAAUGACUUGUUUCAUUAGGAGAUCGGGGGUAUGCCCUUGCGCCCUGGCUAAUGACGCCACUAACAAACCCUCAGACGCACCAAGAGGCCUCUUAUAACCAGAGGCAGGCACACACCCGCUCCACCAUUGAGCGAACCACUGGUAUUCUGAAGGGACGCUGGAUGUGUUUGGACACAGCAGGUGGUAAGCUGCUUUACAAGCCAGAGAAGGUUUGCAGAAUAAUCAUGGCCUGUUGUGUUACACAACAUCGCUAUGAAGCGUGGUGUUCCACUUCCACUUCAGCCACCACACCAGGAUGUGCGUCCUGACCCAUUGCUGGGACCAGACAACCGACUUGGCGUGGAAGUCAGACAACAAAUCAUUUCUCGAUUUUGAUUUGUUUUGUCCUUUAAAUACCACAAAUUAAACACAUGAAAUGA